GAAAGAGGAUGGGCAGUUAAUAAGCAGAUAUGGGGCCUGCCUGAAUUCUCCAAUCCCCAUCUCUCGGACAACAGCCCUGGGCCAGCUACUACUGACUUCUUUUUGUUGUUGUUGUUUGUGGGAUUUUGUGUUUUGUUUCCAGACAAAGCCUUAGCCCAGGCUGUUUUUUGAACUUGCUAUGCAGCCCCAGGUAGCUUUGCUGCCUCUAUCUGCCAAGAGAUUGUGCACAAGCUUGCCCCACAACACCCUAUGUGUGUGUGUGCUACCAUUCUAUCCACAUGCUAUCCCCACACUCCCAGGCCAGGCCCUCAGACUUCCACACCGCCUGUCCUUCAGACGCAGAAAACAAGAUGGCCUCAGACAGACACCAGGAAGUGGAGCUCACGCCCUAGUCCAUAGUGGGGGUGGAUCUCCAUGCUGGUCACAGCUACCCCACACUGGAAGAGUCCAUGCGCACACGCCUGGAUUGACACCCGGAGAUGUAACAUGGUGUCUCCUUGCAGAAGACAGUGGGACUCCUGCCCCUUUCCACUUAGCUCUUCAUCUGCUGGCCACUGUGAGUCCACUGUGCCUCCCCACAGUGACCAGAAGC